AACGAACGCUGGCGGCAGGCUUAACACAUGCAAGUCGAACGCCCCGCAAGGGGCGUGGCAGACGUGUGAGUAACGCGUGGGAACAUACCCUUUCCUGCGGAAUAGCUCCGGGAAACUGGAAUUAAUACCGCAUACGCCCUACGGGGGAAAGAUUUAUCGGGGAAGGAUUGGCCCGCGUUGGAUUAGCUAGUUGGUGGGGUAAAGGCCUACCAAGGCGACGAUCCAUAGCUGGUCUGAGAGGAUGAUCAGCCACAUUGGGACUGAGACACGGCCCAAACUCCUACGGGAGGCAGCAGUGGGGAAUAUUGGACAAUGGGCGCAAGCCUGAUCCAGCCAUGCCGCGUGAGUGAUGAAGGCCUUAGGGUUGUAAAGCUCUUUCACCGAUGAAGAUAAUGACGGUAGUCGGAGAAGAAGCCCCGGCUAACUUCGUG
rnacentral:rRNA from 1 species